UAUUCCUGUAGUGCAUUGAUUGCACAACCUACGCAGUGCACCCCAGAUGGCUGCCUCGGAUGGUUCCUCCAUGGGCAGGGGGUGGUGUUUUCUGUGUGCUCCGGUCCGGGUGCUCCAUGACGCCGCGGCUGGCGCCUCGUAAUGACGUCAUCAGUUGGACGGAGUGGGACGCGACUAGCAGGAGGCGCCAUGGACCAUCAGACGGAGUUAAAAGGGCACUCCAUCAUCGUCUGGGACAAAAACAGCAACUGCCUCCUGUGUGAUCAACAAUGUGUUAUCUAGUUUUUGGGGGAGGGGACUUUCUCAUUCAUGAUGAGUCACUAGUCCAUUUGUAUAUGCUCCACACGUUCAGCCUUGAAGACAUCCAAAGGGGCUGGCCUGAGUUUCCUGUCCAUUGUACUAAUAAGAGUGAUUUUUAGCUUUCAUACAUUUGAUCAUAACUAUUUGUUGCAAUGUCCUACAACUUAAUAACAAGUAUCAAAUGAAUCUACACAUUAAUCUGGUUGCUUAAAUACCAAAUAUGACUGGUGUAUCUUGCUUCGUUCAAAUAAUACACAUACAUGGCAUUACUUCAUUAUAUAAUUUUAAAUCAUGAUGUCUGGUGCUUGAUAUUACAGGUUGAGUAUCCCAUAUCCAAAUAUUCCGAAAUAUGGAAUAUUCCGAAAUACAGACUUUUUUGAGUGAGAGUGAGAUA